CCACUUACCAGUGGCAGAGGAGAUCAGGAAGGGGUUUUUCCUAGGGUGAGGCUCGGCCAUUGCACUCUGGCCAUGCUGUCCCCCUGUAACUCCUCCAGAUGCAGGAAAUGCGACUCCAGAAUUCAUGGUUGUGCACAGAGGGCUGCGGAGGCAGAGUCCUUUC